rnacentral:rRNA from 1 species
AAUGAACGUUGGCGGCGUGGAUUAGGCAUGCAAGUCGAGCGAGAACCCCGCAAGGGGGGACAGCGGCGAAAGGGACAGUAAUGUGUAGAUUAUCUGCCCUCAGGUCCGGGAUAGCUGCGGGAAACUGCAGGUAAUACCGGAUAACAUCUCCGGAUCAAAGGUGUGAUUCCGCCUGAGGAUGAGUCUGCAUCCUAUUAGCUAGUUGGUGGGGUAAUGGCCUACCAAGGCAUUGAUGGGUAGCAGGUGUGAGAGCACGACCUGCGUCAUUGGGACUGAGACACUGCCCAGACACCUACGGGUGGCUGCAGUCGAGAAUCUUCGGCAAUGGGCGCAAGCCUGACCGGGCGCCGCCGCGUGUGGGAUGAAGGCCUUCGGGUUGUAAACCACUGUCAGAGGGGAUGAAAUGCAGGUGGGCUCUCCCAUCUGUUUGACAUAGCCUCAGAGGAAGGACGGGCUAAGUUCGUG